rnacentral:tRNA from 1 species
GGGGAUUUAGCUAAGUGGUAGAGCGCUUGCCUAGCAAGCGCAAGGCCCUGGGUUCGGUUCCCAGCUCCA